rnacentral:lncRNA from 10 species
CUCACGGUGAGGGUGAGGAGCCCCUUUUUGGCUUGCUGAAAGAAAGAGAGAGGGCUACAACACCCAGCAGCAAUCCAGGCUGGGCACUGUGGCUCACACCUCUAAUCCCAGCACUUUGUGAGGCUGAGAUGGGGGCACCCUGCUGAGAUGAAAGCAGCCCUGGAUGACAGGAGGUCCUCAUGAAUGCUCGGUAGGCAGCCUCAUCAUUGCUGUCUUCCUCCUCCUGCUGCUGCUGCUGCUGCUGCUGCUGCUAAGACAGACAGAUGUGGCCCAGCUGGAUGGUGGCUGAGCAUUCCUCAAAGACAGCAGGAGGCGGAAACAAGAUGGCCGACUACAUGCAGCCAGGAUGUGUUGCUCCCACUGAGAGAGACCAAACUAUCAACAACUGCUGCAGGAUUCUCUGGCAUCUGCACUUUGGCUGGAGUUGGCUACAACCAUCCUUGGAGGAUGAGGAGAAGGAAGGAAGAGAGGGAAAGCGCAUAAGACUGGGCCACCUGUCCACCUUCUCCAACCCUCACCAUUGCUCGAGGCUCUCUUAAUCCAUUUAUGAGGAGGUGAGAGGUGCAGUGAGCAGCAGGGAAGGUGCACCAUUCCCCAGCAUCCAAGUUCUCAGGGGAGCCUUGAACCUUUGGAAGGGAUGUUUGUAGGUGACCGCCUCCUAUUGGCUGAGCAAGGUAGCCAUGUCUUAGCUGCUGUAACUGUCCACUGGAGGAGCAUUUCCAUCCCAGCUGCACAUGCCAAGACUCAGCCAGGGGCAAGACCGAUGGAGAUCUCCACGCGGGAUCCCAGCAUCGGGUCACUGUCCAGCAUUACCAGUUGCUCCCACUCAAAGCAAACCUCUCCUCCAGCAUCUCCAGAUGUGGCAAGAACAGCGCCUCCCUCCUGAUGGGCUCCGCCCUUCCACCCAACGUCCUUCACAUCCACCUGAGACAUCCACUGAGACUUCUCAGUGUUUCUGGCACACACUGAGCAACACUGUCUAGUUUACAAGACUGACAUAGAUUCGUCCUUAUUUCAACAGGAAUUCAAAAGAAGAACUUGAAGUAAAUUCCUGAUUUCAAGCUGCCUUCCUAGUUAACCACAACUCCAAGUUCUUGGAACUAUUUGUUUAUUUUGCCCCAUGCCUAUUUUCUCCCCGUGUUUAUGAGCAUAUUGCUAUUCACAAUGAAUUGCUUUUUAAUAGCAAAACGUAACCUAUAUAUGAAAAUGUAUUACCAAUUCAAAUGCACAA